UGAAGAGGGAAACAACCCAGACCGCCAGCUAAGGUCCCAAAGUCAUGGUUAAGUGGGAAACGAUGUGGGAAGGCCCAGACAGCCAGGAUGUUGGCUUAGAAGCAGCCAUCAUUUAAAGAAAGCGUAAUAGCUCACUGGUCGAGUCGGCCUGCGCGGAAGAUGUAACGGGGCUAAACCAUGCACCGAAGCUGCGGCAGCGACACUAUGUGUUGUUGGGUAGGGGAGCGUUCUGUAAGCCUGUGAAGGUGGCCUGUGAGGGUUGCUGGAGGUAUCAGAAGUGCGAAUGCUGACAUAAGUAACGAUAAAGCGGGUGAAAAGCCCGCUCGCCGGAAGACCAAGGGUUCCUGUCCAACGUUAAUCGGGGCAGGGUGAGUCGACCCCUAAGGCGAGGCCGAAAGGCGUAGUCGAUGGGAAACAGGUUAAUAUUCCUGUACUUGGUGUUACUGCGAAGGGGGGACGGAGAAGGCUAUGUUGGCCGGGCGACGGUUGUCCCGGUUUAAGCGUGUAGGCUGGUUUUCCAGGCAAAUCCGGAAAACCAAGGCUGAGGCGUGAUGACGAGGCACUACGGUGCUGAAGCGACAAAUGCCCUGCUUCCAGGAAAAGCCUCUAAGCAUCAGGUAACAUCAAAUCGUACCCCAAACCGACACAGGUGGUCAGGUAGAGAAUACCAAGGCGCUUGAGAGAACUCGGGUGAAGGAACUAGGCAAAAUGGUGCCGUAACUUCGGGAGAAGGCACGCUGAUAUGUAGGUGAAGCGACUUGCUCGUGGAGCUGAAAUCAGUCGAAGAUACCAGCUGGCUGCAACUGUUUAUUAAAAACACAGCACUGUGCAAACACGAAAGUGGACGUAUACGGUGUGACGCCUGCCCGGUGCCGGAAGGUUAAUUGAUGGGGUUAGCGGUAACGCGAAGCUCUUGAUCGAAGCCCCGGUAAACGGCGGCCGUAACUAUAACGGUCCUAAGGUAGCGAAAUUCCUUGUCGGGUAAGUUCCGACCUGCACGAAUGGCGUAAUGAUGGCCAGGCUGUCUCCACCCGAGACUCAGUGAAAUUGAACUCGCUGUGAAGAUGCAGUGUACCCGCGGCAAGACGGAAAGACCCCGUGAACCUUUACUAUAGCUUGACACUGAACAUUGAGCCUUGAUGUGUAGGAUAGGUGGGAGGCUUUGAAGUGUGGACGCCAGUCUGCAUGGAGCCGACCUUGAAAUACCACCCUUUAAUGUUUGAUGUUCUAACGUUGGCCCGUAAUCCGGGUUGCGGACAGUGUCUGGUGGGUAGUUUGACUGGGGCGGUCUCCUCCUAAAGAGUAACGGAGGAGCACGAAGGUUGGCUAAUCCUGGUCGGACAUCAGGAGGUUAGUGCAAUGGCAUAAGCCAGCUUGACUGCGAGCGUGACGGCGCGAGCAGGUGCGAAAGCAGGUCAUAGUGAUCCGGUGGUUCUGAAUGGAAGGGCCAUCGCUCAACGGAUAAAAGGUACUCCGGGGAUAACAGGCUGAUACCGCCCAAGAGUUCAUAUCGACGGCGGUGUUUGGCACCUCGAUGUCGGCUCAUCACAUCCUGGGGCUGAAGUAGGUCCCAAGGGUAUGGCUGUUCGCCAUUUAAAGUGGUACGCGAGCUGGGUUUAGAACGUCGUGAGACAGUUCGGUCCCUAUCUGCCGUGGGCGCUGGAGAACUGAGGGGGGCUGCUCCUAGUACGAGAGGACCGGAGUGGACGCAUCACUGGUGUUCGGGUUGUCAUGCCAAUGGCACUGCCCGGUAGCUAAAUGCGGAAGAGAUAAGUGCUGAAAGCAUCUAAGCACGAAACUUGC
rnacentral:rRNA from 1 species